rnacentral:rRNA from 1 species
GACGAACCGUGCGAACGUUAUUCGGAAUCACUGGGCUUAAAGCGCGUGUAGGCGGGUCGGCACGUCGGCCGCUGAAAUCCCCCGGCUCAACCGGGGAAGCGGCGCCGAUACGGCCGGCCUCGAGGGACGUGAGGGGGGCUGGAACUUCCGGUGGAGCGGUGAAAUGCGUUGAGAUCGGAAGGAACGCCCGUGGCGAAAGCGAGCCCCUGGACGUCGACUGACGCUGAGACGCGAAAGCCAGGAGAGCGAACGGGG